rnacentral:rRNA from 1 species
GAUGAAUGCUGGCGGCGUGCUUAACACAUGCAAGUCGAGCGGCAGCGCGAGUAGUUUACUACUUGGCGGCGAGCGGCGGACGGCUGAGUAACGCGUAGGAACGUGCCCCAAAGUGAGGAAUAACUGCCCGAAAGGGUGGCUAAUGCCGCAUAUGAUCUUCGGAUUAAAGGAUUUAUCCGCUUUGGGAGCGGCCUGCGUAUGAUUAGGUAGUUGGUGAGGUAAUGGCUCACCAAGCCGACGAUCAUUAGCUGGUCUGAGAGGAUGACCAGCCAGACUGGAACUGAGACACGGUCCAGACUCCUACGGGAGGCAGCAGUGAGGAAUCUUCCACAAUGGGCGAAAGCCUGAUGGAGCAACGCCGCGUGAAGGAUGAAGGCCCUCGGGUCGUAAACUUCUUUUAUAAGUGAAGAAUAUAACGGUAACUUAUGAAUAAGCACCGGCUAACUACGUGCCAGCAGCCGCAGUAA